AUGGCACCUCCUAGACAUGCAAAGGGAAAUGCAAAAAUUGGUGAAAGCUCCAAUGCUCCUGAUUCUGACUCAGAGCAAGUCCAAACUACUGUGAAGCUGAGAAGAUUAAUGGCAAACUUCAGACAAAGGGCUAUAUUCCUUCCAAAAUUCGAUUUUGGUUCAUUCUUAGGUAUUCCUUCUGAAGGUGUAAAGAUUGUUCCCGAUUUUACUCCAGACACUCCAUGUUGGGAAAUUACAAUAAGAUGA